AUUGAACGCUGGCGGAAUGCUUUACACAUGCAAGUCGAGCGGCAGCACGGGGGCAACCCUGGUGGCGAGCGGCGAACGGGUGAGUAAUACAUCGGAACAUGCCCAGUCGUGGGGGAUAACACUUCGAAAGAAGUGCUAAUACCGCAUACGUCCUGAGGGGGAAAGCGGGGGAUCGCAAGACCUCGCGCGAUUGGAGUGGCCGAUGUCAGAUUAGCUAGUUGGUGGGGUAAAGGCCUACCAAGGCAACGAUCUGUAGCUGAUCUGAGAGGAUGAUCAGCCACACUGGGACUGAGACACGGCCCAGACUCCUACGGGAGGCAGCAGUGGGGAAUUUUGGACAAUGGGGGCGACCCUGAUCCAGCCAUUCCGCGUGAGUGAAGAAGGCCUUCGGGUUGUAAAGCUCUUUCGGCAGGAACGAAACGGUGAGCUCUAACAUAGCUUGCUAAUGACGGUACCUGAAGAAGAAGCACCGGCUAACUACGUG
rnacentral:rRNA from 1 species